rnacentral:lncRNA from 1 species
UAAAUUAUAUGUGUCAAUGAAAGUUAUAACUAACGUUAUAAGUAUAAGAAUUGUUCACAAACAGCAACUUAAGAAUGCAUAAAUAAAUACUAACAGCCAUGGAAUGCAUAUUUAAGAGAAGAAAGAAAAGAGGGAGGGAUGAAGUCCAAAUUAUUUAGUGUUGAUAUGGUAAGUCCAAUUAAUUUAGUUUCAAAAUAGAGAAAGAUAGAGUUUAACCUAGUUAGAUGUUCUAUAAAAAUGGUUUAAAAAGGAUG